UGAGCUAAAUCCCUGACCCCCCUGCUGUCUUUUGUGGGCUUCAUUUUCCUGUCCCUCUCCAGGUGAUGGUUCCUCAGUGAAUGUGCUGGGUCUGCUGCAUUAAGAGCUCCAUGGCCCAGGUCCCCUUGGAGCACUGAGAACUCUUGCUCAGAUCAAAGUGACCCUGGGUGGCACAAUGGGCAAGGCCUCAGCCCAUAUCCUCUACCGGAAGCCCUGACAUUGCCCAACUCAUCAGACUCAGUGGUUUUCUAUCCUUCCUGACUUCAGCCUGGUUCUCCAAGAAGGGCCACCCCUGAAGUCUCAGCCACACCUAGAUCCUCACACACUGCUGGUAUUUUAAGAGUGCCAAGGCCAGAACAAGAGA
rnacentral:lncRNA from 1 species